GGCCCGCUCCUCCUUUCAGAGAGUGUUUCCGGAGCGCCUACUGUGUGCUCCUCCAUGGGGGUGGGGGCACUACCAGGCACAAAGGGUGCCAGUCCCCGUACCUUUGUAAGUUCGCCUCCUCCUCUGGGAGCUUGCCCUUGUGGGGAUGGGGAAACUGAGGCUCAGUCGGCUCAGAGUAACUCCCAGGUGCUAAAGGACCAGUUGUUUUGUCCGCUCAUAAGGCAAACGGCGCGGCGAAGACCACUUGGGAUAAAACCCCAAGCCUAGCGCAGAUGGUCGGCCAGGGGAGCCUCUGGUGGGCAGUCACAAGCCCACGGAUUCCACCAGUGACCCCAGGCCUGCUCACAUGAGUGACGCGUUCCUCCCCAUGGCCAGCAGCAGAGCGGACUGAAUGCUGGGUGACAGGCUGGCCUCAGACUCCGGUGCUCAAGGAUAUUCUUGCUUCAGGUUCCCAAAUAGCACUGCACACUGCACACGUGAAUCCCCAUGCCUGAUGCCCGGCUGAAGGCUCUCGAAAUCGUGAGGAAAGAAACUGGGAGCAGUUGAAAGAAACCUACACCGCCAGCGACUUACAGGUUUCACAUCAGUUUGAAGUGGGAGACACAGCCCUGGUGAGGAGGCACCGAGCGGGGAACCUCGAGCCGCGUUGGAAAGGACCCUCCCUGGUACUAUUAACUACAGCCACCACCCUUAAAGUAGAAGGAAUCCCCUCUUGGGUUCAUGCCUCACAUGUUAAGAGGGCUCCCCCUGAGACUGAUCGUGAUGAGUGGACCCUGGAAAAGACUAAUAAUCCUCUUAAGUUGCGCUUGCGUCGCAAGAGCGACUCAGAACAGAGACAUCAACCCUCAUACUCCAACAAUCAUGGGAAGUGCUU
rnacentral:lncRNA from 1 species